CAGCAGCCGCGGUAAUACGUAGGGUGCAAGCGUUGUCCGGAUUUAUUGGGCGUAAAGAGCUCGUAGGCGGUUACGUAAGUCAGGUGUGAAACCUCCAGGCUCAACCUGGAGACGCCACUUGAUACUGCGUUGACUUGAGUUCGGUAGGGGUAAGCGGAAUUCCUGGUGUAGCGGUGAAAUGCGCAGAUAUCAGGAGGAACACCGACGGCGAAGGCAGCUUACUGGGCCGAUACUGACGCUGAGGAGCGAAAGCGUGGGGAGCGAACAGGAUUAGAUACCCUGGUAGUCCACGCCGUAAACGUUGGGAACUAGGUGUGGGAGGUAAUCAACGCCUUCCGUGCCGUAGCUAACGCAUUAAGUUCCCCGCCUGGGGAGUACGGUCGCAAGACUAAAACUCAAAGGAAUUGACGGGGGCCCGCACAAGCGGCGGAGCAUGUUGCUUAAUUCGAUGCAACGCGAAGAACCUCACCUAGGUUGAACUACGCAGGAAAAACCACAGAGAUGUGGCGUACUUCGGUGUCUGCGAGAGGAGGUGCAUGGCC
rnacentral:rRNA from 1 species